rnacentral:rRNA from 1 species
AUUGAACGCUGGCGGCAGGCCUAACACAUGCAAGUCGAGCGAGCGGCGGACGGGUGAGUAAUGUAUGGGGACUGCCCGAUAGAGGGGGAUAACUAAUGGAAACGGUGGCUAAUACCGCAUACUAACGGAUAACCCAUAUGGGAUUGGCUAGUAGGUGGGGUAAAGGCACAACUAGGCGACGGUCUCUAGCUGGUCUGAGAGGAUGAUCAGCCAGACUUGGACGGGGACACGGCCCAGAGGCCUACGGAGGCAGCAGUGGGGAAUAUUGCACAAUGGGCGCGAGCCUAAUGCAGCAAGACCGAGUGUGUGAAGAAGGCCAUAGGGUUGUAAAGCACUUGUGUUAGGGAGAUGUUACCUAAAGAAUAAGCACCGGCUAACUCCGUGCCAGCAGCCGCGGUAAUAC